UAUUCCGGUGGUCUUCGGCAUCUUCCGUGAGCAACGCAUCUUCCGUGAGGUUUGUAUUUUUCCCUCCAAGCUCUAGAUUUUGGAGUCAGACCAAGCGCUAGGGUUUUUGGAGCUGAAGAAGAUGCGUCGGCACGGCGAGCCCGCAAAGGAGAAUCGGCGUCCUCCAGGUACUAAUCUCCAGCUUCGGCACUGCUCCUCGAAUCUCCUCCGCCGUCCUCUCGGAGAGCGCAAGCCUUGCAAAAAAUCUCCCAGAUCAGGAGCUGACAAUGCGGCCACUGCCGUGGAUGUGGCGCCGUGUCUCAAGUGGCUCGAGGCUACCGUUGCUCAAUCUCGGGUGAUCGCAGCAGCAGCGAAGCAGCCAGAUCCAGUCCAGGUUUCUCCUCCCAGGUCGAGCGGCACUGCUGGGAAUCACAUCGCUCCUCCAGCACAGCCGUCUUGUUCCCCCGAUAUUCUCCGGAAGAAAGCCUCUCGCGACUUGGAUGGAUGUUUUGGAAUCGGACCCACUGUCAAGGGAGACGUGAAAGACCGCCGCAAGUCGAAGCCCCGAGCGCUCUUGACAGUCGAAGCCUUACCAAAGGUUGCUACCAUUUUGCACAAGGAGAAGAAAGUACCAAGGCCGGGACGAGCUUCACUGGAAUGGAUAUCUGACGAUCCAGACAGUGAGUCGACUACAGAUAUCAGCGGCACUUGUGACGGAUCUUCUGGGGACAGCAGUCUCUGUUCUGGGUUCCUGCAACAGGACCUUUUGGAAAGAUGGCACCAUUUACGUGCUAGCAAGAUUUACUCUCGGCUAGACGUCGACAGUGAUGCGUCCUUCUCGGACUCUUGGGACACUGUUCCUCACUGUUGGCACGAGGAAAAAGCCAUUGGCAGCUCCCCUCUGGCGGAAAAGAAGAGCGACGAGACUAGUGAGCUGAUGAAGCACCAGGUCCAGGACGCAUCGCUGCCGAGCCAGCUUUCGUUUAAAGACAGUGAGACAGAAAUAACAGUAUUUAGUUCACAGAUGGAGACAGUGAUGGGGGCGUAUGAGAGCUGCCACAGGCGCUUAGGAACUUUUACAGGGUCUAUCGAUCAACAGGAAUGUGACAAGAUGAAGCCGAGUCUCCCCCAGCUUGUGGUUGCUGACGCGUUACGAAAGAUGAGCUUUAGCCAGAUCCGGGAACAAUCACCCCCAGAGGUCGAGAAGGAGGUUGCUGAAUUGACACGACCGGAGGAUGAACUCUUUCCGAACGGCUUUGACAGCAUCAGUGAAAAGGUACGUUUAUCUAUCAAGUUGCUCAAGUAUUGGCAGGAGCAUAGUAGUCGAUAUGAACUUCCGGACACAAUUCCGGACUGGUUCAAGGUUGCUGUCGCCGCUGGUUUUCUGGUGACCGGUGUAGUUCUUGCAGUCUAUUUUUCUCAGCAACGGUUUUACCAUCCGAGGGAAUGAGUGUCUGAAGCUAGAUGGUCAGGGGCUUGCAGAUUGAGCUCAAAGAAUUGCUUUGUUCAGAUUCCUGGCAAACCAAGUGAUACUUCUUA